rnacentral:snRNA from 1 species
AAGCAGAGACUUAAGUAGUAGUG